AUGCUCGAAGCCUUGUCCAGCCCACUCGACUUCAACUCCGACGACGCGCUGGGGCUCAGUCCCCCGUCGUCCCCUCGUGUGUCUCCACCAGCAGACGUGCCCACAGCCCUGCUCCCCAACAUCAUGCCCUGCAUCGCACAACCCCCCGCUGCAGCGGUCGAGUUUCAGGAGAUGGAGACAGUAACACAGAGGAUGAACCGCAUGCAUAUCCAGGCCACUCCAGAGGUGCUCCAGCUCUUCGGCGACGUUCAGGCCCCCAUCCUUGCUACUCCAAAGCCGAAGCGCACGUCUGCUCCUCCCAAGUCUCGAGCUGCUUCUGUCCCCUCCACGCGCAGUGCGAGGCAGGCGGCGGCAAACUCCACCGUCCCGGUGUCGCAGAGGGCGGCGCUACGUCUCGUCCAGGAGCUCGGAAAGCUGGGCCCCAACGACAAGAUAACCCCAGAGGCUGCGGCAAGACUGAUCAAGCGCUUUGACGAGCCACUAUCGGAGGCUGACAUCCUGACGAUUGCAAGACUAACGAACCUCGACAUCACCGCCCUGAAGAUCGCUGCAGGCGUGCAGGGCCCGGAAGGUGCAGCCAUCGCGGCUGAGUAG
rnacentral:rRNA from 1 species